UAAACGACUCUCGGCAACGGAUAUCUCGGCUCACGCAUCGAUGAAGAACGUAGCAAAAUGCGAUACUUGGUGUGAAUUGCAGAAUCCCGUGAACCAUCGAGUUUUUGAACGCAAGUUGCGCCCGAAGCCAUUUGGUUGAGGGCACGUCUGCCUGGGCGUCACGU
rnacentral:rRNA from 2 species